rnacentral:rRNA from 1 species
GUGGCGGACGGGUGAGUAACGCGUGGGUAACGUACCCUGUACAGGGGGAGUAACAGUCAGAAAUGACUGCUAAUACCGCAUAAGACACAGCACCGCAUGGUGCAGGGGUAAAAACUCCGGUGGUACAGGAUGGACCCGCGUCUGAUUAGCUGGUUGGUGAGGUAACGGCUCACCAAGGCGACGAUCAGUAGCCGGCUUGAGAGAGUGAACGGCCACAUUGGGACUGAGACACGGCCCAAACUCCUCGGGAGGCAGCAUG